CUACGGGAGGCUGCAGUCGAGAAUCUUUGGCAAUGGACGAAAGUCUGACCAAGCGACGCCGCGUGCGGGAUGAAGGCCUUCGGGUUGUAAACCGCUGUCAGUUGGGAGGAAAUCACAUGGGGUCCUCUCCAUGUGUUGACCUAUCUUCAGAGGAAGGACGGGCUAAGUUCGUGCCAGCAGCCGCGGUAAGACGAACCGUCCAAACGUUAUUCGGAAUCACUGGGCUUAAAGGGUGCGUAGGCGGCCCUGUAAGUUGGGUGUGAAAUCCCUCGGCGCAACCGAGGAAUUGCGCCCAAUACUGCAGGGGUAGAGGGAGACAGAGGUGAGCGGAACUUGUGGUGGAGCGGUGAAAUGCGUUGAUAUCACAAGGAACACUUGUGGCGAAAGCGGCUCACUGGGUCUCUUCUGACGCUGAGGCACGAAAGCUGGGGGAGCGAACGGGAUUAGAUACCCUGGUAGUC
rnacentral:rRNA from 1 species